rnacentral:rRNA from 1 species
GCGUGCUUAACACAUGCAAGUCGAACGGGGAUUACACGGAGAUGCGAUUUCGGUCAAAUCAAGUGCAAUCUUAGUGGCGGACGGGUGAGUAACGCGUGGGUAACCUGCCUCGCACUGGGGGAUAACACUUAGAAAUAGGUGCUAAUACCGCAUAAGCGCACGGUCCUGCAUGGGACAGUGUGAAAAACUCCGGUGGUGCAAGAUGGACCCGCGUCUGAUUAGCUGGUUGGCGGGGUAAAGGCCCACCAAGGCGACGAUCAGUAGCCGGCCUGAGAGGGUGGACGGCCACAUUGGGACUGAGACACGGCCCAAACUUCUACGGGAGGCAGCAGUGGGGGAUAUUGGACAAUGGGGGGAACCCUGAUCCAGCGACGCCGCGUGAGUGAAGAAGUAUUUCGGUAUGUAAAGCUCUGUCAGCAGGGAAGAAAGCAAUGACGGUACCUGACCAAGAAGCCCCGGCUAACUACGUGCCAGCAGCCGCGGUAAUACGUAGGGGGCAAGCGUUAUCCGGAAUUACUGGGUGUAAAGGGAGCGUAGACGGCUGUGCAAGUCUGGAGUGAAAGGCGGGGGCCCAACCCCCCGGACUGCUCUGGAAACUGUAUGGCUGGAGUGCAGGAGAGGUAAGCGGAAUUCCUAGUGUAGCGGUGAAAUGCGUAGAUAUUAGGAGGAACACCAGUGGCGAAGGCGGCUUACUGGACUGUAACUGACGUUGAGGCUCGAAAGCGUGGGGAGCAAACAGGAUUAGAUACCCUGGUAGUCCACGCCGUAA